rnacentral:rRNA from 1 species
UUGAUCCUGGCUCAGAAUCAACGCUGGCGGCGUGCCUAACACAUGCAAGUCGAACGCGAAAGUCCCGCAAGGGAUCAGUAGAGUGGCAAACGGGUGAGUUACACGUGGGUGACCUACCUUCGAGUGGGGGAUAACCUUCCGAAAGGAGGUCUAAUACCGCAUGACAUCCCAUGUUUGGAUACAUGGACAUCAAAGCCGGUGAUCGCAAGACCUGGCGCUUGAAGAGGGACCUGCGCCCGAUUAGCUAGUUGGUGAGGUAACGGCUCACCAAGGCUUCGAUCGGUAUCCGGCCUGAGAGGUCGGACGGACACACUGGAACUGAGACACGGUCCAGACUCCUACGAGAGGCUGCAGUGGGGAAUUGUUCGCAAUGGGCGCAAGCCUGACGACGCAACGCCGUGUGGAGGAUGAAGACUUUCGGGUCGUAAACUCCUUUCGACCGAGAUGAAUAGCCUGCGAUCUAAUAGGUCGCAGGUCUGACAGUAUCGAGGGAAGAAGCUCCGGCUAACUCCGUGCCAGCAGCCGCGGUAAUAAGGU